UGGCGGCGUGCUAAUACAUGCAAGUCGAACGCGUCUUGGUUAUUGAUGUUAAGUGCUUGCAUUUAACUGAUUUAACAUUGAGACGAGUGGCGAACUGGUGAGUAACACGUGGGUAACCUGCCCUUGAAGUAGGGGAUAACACUUGGAAACAGGUGCUAAUACCGUAUAACAACCAAAACCACCUGGUUUUGGUUUAAAAGAUGGCUUCGGCUAUCACUUUAGGAUGGACCCGCGGCGUAUUAGCUUGUUGGUAAGGUAACGGCCUACCAAGGCAAUGAUACGUAGCCGACCUGAGAGGGUAAUCGGCCACAUUGGGACUGAGACACGGCCCAAACUCCUACGGGAGGCAGCAGUAGGGAAUCUUCCACAAUGGACGAAAGUCUGAUGGAGCAACGCCGCGUGAGUGAUGAAGGGUUUCGGCUCGUAAAACUCUGUUGUUGGAGAAGAACAGGUGUGAGAGUAACUGUUCACAUCUUGACGGUAUCCAACCAGAAAGCCACGGCUAACUACGUGCCAGCAGCCGCGGUAAUACGUAGGUGGCAAGCGUUGUCCGGAUUUAUUGGGCGUAAAGCGAGCGCAGGCGGUUUCUUAGGUCUGAUGUGAAAGCCUUCGGCUUAACCGGAGAAGUGCAUCGGAAACCAGGAGACUUGAGUGCAGAAGAGGACAGUGGAACUCCAUGUGUAGCGGUGAAAUGCGUAGAUAUAUGGAAGAACACCAGUGGCGAAGGCGGCUGUCUGGUCUGUAACUGACGCUGAGGCUC
rnacentral:rRNA from 1 species